AACGAACGCUGGCGGCAUGCCUAACACAUGCAAGUCGAACGAGACCUUCGGGUCUAGUGGCGCACGGGUGCGUAACGCGUGGGAACCUGCCCUUAGGUUCGGAAUAACUCCCCGAAAGGGGUGCUAAUACCGGAUAAUGUCUUCGGACCAAAGAUUUAUCGCCUUUGGAUGGGCCCGCGUUGGAUUAGCUAGUUGGUAGGGUAAAAGCCUACCAAGGCGACGAUCCAUAGCUGGUCUGAGAGGAUGAUCAGCCACACUGGGAUUGAGACACGGCCCAGACUCCUACGGGAGGCAGCAGUGGGGAAUAUUGGACAAUGGGCGAAAGCCUGAUCCAGCAAUGCCGCGUGAGUGAUGAAGGCCUUGGGGUUGUAAAGCUCUUUUACCCGGGAUGAUAAUGACAGUACCGGGAGAAUAAGCUCCGGCUAACUCCGUG
rnacentral:rRNA from 1 species